UUCGGGUUGUAAAGCACUUUCAGUAGGGAGGAAGGUAGUGUAGUUAACACCUGCAUUAUUUGACGUUACCUACAGAAGAAGCACCGGCUAACUCCGUGCCAGCAGCCGCGGUAAUACGGAGGGUGCGAGCGUUAAUCGGAAUUACUGGGCGUAAAGCGCAUGCAGGCGGCCUGUUAAGUCAGAUGUGAAAGCCCGGGGCUUAACCUCGGAAUUGCAUUUGAAACUGGCAGGCUAGAGUCUUGUAGAGGGGGGUAGAAUUUCAGGUGUAGCGGUGAAAUGCGUAGAGAUCUGAAGGAAUACCAGUGGCGAAGGCGGCCCCCUGGACAAAGACUGACGCUCAGAUGCGAAAGCGUGGGGAGCAAACAGGAUUAGAUACCCUGGUAGUCCACGCCGUAAACGAUGUCUACUUGGAGGUUGUGGCCUUGAGCCGUGGCUUUCGGAGCUAACGCGUUAAGUAGACCGCCUGGGGAGUACGGUCGCAAGAUUAAAACUCAAAUGAAUUGACGGGGGCCCGCACAAGCGGUGGAGCAUGUGGUUUAAUUAGAUGCAACGCGAAGAACCUUACCUACUCUUGACAUCCAGUGAAGCUUGAAGAGAUUCGAGUGUGCCUUCGGGAACUCUGAGACAG
rnacentral:rRNA from 1 species